rnacentral:rRNA from 1 species
AUUGAACGCUGGCGGCAGGCUUAACACAUGCAAGUCGAGCGGGGGAAGGUAGCUUGCUCCCGGACCUAGCGGCGGACGGGUGAGUAAUGCUUAGGAAUCUGCCUAUUAGUGGGGGACAACAUCUCGAAAGGGAUGCUAAUACCGCAUACGUCCUACGGGAGAAAGCAGGGGAUCUUCGGACCUUGCGCUAAUAGAUGAGCCUAAGUCGGAUUAGCUAGUUGGUGGGGUAAAGGCCUACCAAGGCGACGAUCUGUAGCGGGUCUGAGAGGAUGAUCCGCCACACUGGGACUGAGACACGGCCCAGACUCCUACGGGAGGCAGCAGUGGGGAAUAUUGGACAAUGGGGGGAACCCUGAACCAGCCAUGCCGCGUGUGUGAAGAAGGCCUUAUGGUUGUAAAGCACUUUAAGCGAGGAGGAGGCUACUUUAGUUAAUACCUAGAGAUAGUGGACGUUACUCGCAGAAUAAGCACCGGCUAACUCUGUG